rnacentral:pre_miRNA from 1 species
CCGGUGAUCCAAAAAUAGAAGACUUUGGAACCCGAGAUAGUGUUCGCAAACAGUCAAUGAACAAUGAAAAAAACUAGUAAUCCUGCUUUUCAUCCACGGUCUUCUACUUUGUAAACCUG